GGUUCUAUGAUUAUACACUAGUGUCCUGAAAAGGGCUGAUGACAUAGAAAUCAUGUUCAAUAUGGUUACCCUAAAGCUC
rfam:Mesocricetus auratus contig160298, whole genome shotgun sequence.